UAAAACGCCAUCAAUGAUUCAUUGUGUGGCAGAGAUGCAGCGUUAGAGAGACAGAGAGAAAUCAGAGUUUCACAGAAAGCAGCAAACACAUUCCUGUUAAUGCAUCGCAGAACAUCUCAGUGUUAUUCAAAAUAGCUUUGAUUUCAAUCAGGGACCUUCUGCUGCAACAGAAUAGUCUGAAAAUGACAUUGAUUUUAAUUCCGGGUCUAAAUGCUAAUAACAGCAGUGGGUUCAAGUCAAGGGUGUUUUAAUAGACGCCCCUAAAUGACCUGGGUGCAUCAACUAUGUCGUACCUGUUGUUGUCACUUAACUUGUGCCCCAGACUGAUUAUGUAACAUCAGCAUAUGACUCAUGAUAUUAGAGGAUCUUUCUCUCUCUCUCUCUGUCUGCCUCGCUCUCAUGCUCUCGCUGCAGCGUGUUGUUUUUUUCCCCAAAGAGCUCUGGUUCAAGUGCUUCUGGGUAAUUCACACAGCUCUUAUAAUAUUUCUCAAGAUUUACAGGGGCAGAACUGUCACACAGUUUGUUCAUAUCUUACAACAUAAAUGUGAUCUCAAGUGUAACAGCAAAAAAAUGUGUCUUUUAAUUAUGCUCAUCUGCAAAAAAAAAGUUGUACAAAAGAAACAUUGUAAGAGGAGAAGGAGUUAUGGUAAAUUGGUUUUCCCCUCCCUCUUUUUUUCUUACAUUUUAUUGCAUUGCUUUGUAACACCUGCACUGAUUUUAUUACAGACUAUUUUGUACAUUUAUGUAUCAAACUUAAUUGAAUGUUGUUUUACUGUGUGUAAUCUUUAAUCAGUGAGGCUGGUUUUAUUCUUUGUUUUUCUUAACAUCAACAAAUCCCACGAAAACACUAAUACAAACAGUGUUUUUAAGAAAAAUCUCUUGAUUUAUUACUUAGUGUUUUAAAAGCUGUUUCUUUAAAGGUCAAGAAUGAAUCUUCAUCAUAUAUAUAUAUAUAUAUAUAUAUAUAUAUAUAUAUAUAUAUAUAUAGGCUACAUCAUUUCCUAAAACAGCUGAGUACCAUAGUUUCUAGCUAACAUUAUUUAACAAGCAGUAUUUGUUGCAUUUGUUGGGGACUAUUUUCAGCUGUGGAUUAAUAUACAUUUGGUACUUUAGUGAGUAUUAUGGCAGCAGGAUGAUGUACAUGGAACUGAUAAUAAACUGCAGUACCCAGGUUCAUUCUUCAUAAUGAGGAAACAUGUUACCCACUGCAAUAAUGUGGCUCAGUAAUGAGUUUUUAACAAUGUAUGUCUAUGCCACAGAGGAAAAUCGUGCUUUGGAUACAUGGACAACACGUGUUUGGAGGAUCAAUUCAUUGUUGGUUUUGGAUAUUUAAUGGGAUUUGUUGACAAUAUGAAGAAUAUCACCAAUCAACCCCCACCAGCCCCUAAAAAACCAAAAACAAAAAACACACUUUACAGCUGGGUGGGCAUUAGGGGCCAAGGUCAUUUGUCAGCCAGGCUCUUGACAGUUCUCUCCUCUAAUGAAUGUAUAACAUCCUCCACUCACCAGGACCCUAGAAGAGGGUGGAAAUUGACCAACUUAAAACACUUGAGAUUCAAGAGAUGCUCUUUCUGCGCCACACAAAGCGCUUUAUAUGUCUGUGUGUGUAGCCUCGACUCCCUUGACUGACCAGCUGCAUAAAACUAGACAUUUGUGUCCAAGUCUGAACACAAGCUUACUGUUUACUGUUUAUGUUUGUUUUCUUGGGGAUAAAGAAUGACGCCCACUGGCUGCCAAGCUACCCGUCACACUGAUACUAAGGGAUUCAUGUUGUGUCUUUUAAUUGCAAGCCAUUUGUCAGCUCACAUUGUUGCAGCAUUUACACUGUUCACCUGUGGUAGAGGUAGAAUAUACUGCAGAUACAAAGAGUUGCUUUAUAAACUGUGUCAUUUGUGCACCGACGGCACCACAACACCAGAUUUGAGAUAUGAUAUUUUACUCUCCUUUUUUCUUGAUGUCUACAUCUCCUCCUGCUGCUGCUUCAGUUUUCCUGCAUCAGUCCCUACCAGAGGCCUUUGGCUUUUACAGCGUGUCAUGCCGCCUGUCUCUCCCUCUUUUAUCAGCCCUGCUUUGCCCUUUAUGUUUGUUCCUCCUGUAUAUGAUGAAUGUCGUUGCCUUUGCCCUAUUCAAUUAGUCUAACAGGGACAAGGGGGCAGAAUGUGGAUGAAUAACACAGGCUGAAGUGAAGUCCUCUACAUUGAUAUGCUGCUGUGGGGGAUACAUUGUGGGACAGUUGAAAAGCUAUGCAGCAUAGCAUGUUGUUUGAAUGUAAUAAGGCUGGUGAUGUGCUUGAGACAUGAGAUACUUUGUUAAAGGAACAGUUUGACAUUUUGGGUGAAUGCAUUUAUUCGCUUUCUUACUGAGAGUUAGAUAAGGAUAUUGAUACCACUCUCACACUAGCAGCUGGUUGGGUUAGCAGGGCAUAAAGACUGGAAACAGAGGCCUGACUUUGUCCAAAGAUUAAAGAAUCCACUGGCCAACACAUCUAGAAAUCACUAAUUAACACAUCAUACAACAAUCUGGUUGCCUGGCAACUUGCUGUUUUACACUUCAUUUUUUGUACAGUUUAAAAAAACAGAUACAGUGUGUUAAUUGGUGAGCUUCAGAGGUGUUGGCAGGCAAUUUUUACCUUGGACUGACCUAGACUAGCUGCUUCCUCCUGUUCCCAGUCUGUAUGCUAAGCUAUGCUAACUGGCUUCUGAUUUUACCAUCAUAUAUACUGUAUAGACCUAAGAAGGAUAUCAAUCUUCUCAUCUAACUCUUGGCUAGCACACAAAUAAGAACAUUUCUCAGAAUUAUUCCUUUGAUUUAAGGAAAUGUAAGAUCCUUCAGGUUUUGUGGCACAUUGAUGCUGAAAAUUACAGAAACCACUUGUCGUCAAUGCAGCUGUGAAUUGUUUCAAUUAUUUACAUGCCUACUAACACACCGAAGAAGACCUGGAGUAGUUGUUAAAAGCUGCCAGUGUCUCUUUAUUCUAUUGACUGCUGUAUGAUGUUGAGAUUAAAGAGGUAAUGAUUGAGGUGAUUGGGUUGUUCAGUGAUGUUUCACACUGAAAAUCACUUUUUUUUCAAGUUCUGUCUAUCUCACACAUGUCCUGUCUGUCUUUCAUCCACACAGACUCUUCAGUGUUCACAUUCCCUGCUCAUCAUAAAUGUCCACACGCUCCUUCUCAAACACUCAGUCACGUAAUUCAUCAAUGAUGCUGAUAUGAGGAGGGGGAAAAACAAACUUACUCUGUGCAACUCAUCCAUGAUCAUCUGAUUCAAUUAUUUAUAAUUAAAGACUUUUAUAUUGUCUGUGCA